CCCUGGUACCCCGUGACACCGGAAGUUGAUGAAUGACAGAUUUCCGGUAGCCGUCCUGCUCCAAGUACUCAUCAGAUUCUCCCAAGAGCGAGAGGGAAUCUGAUUAGACAAAAAAUGAUCUCCUUAGCAAAAACCACAGGACGAUCUUCAUCUCUUCUUGCCCUCCAGUUGAAUCGUCUGGACUCAUAACCUACAGAGAGACAAAUGCCAAUAGGUUAUCAUCUCACACCUGUCCCCUGUCCUCACCGUUACUGUACUGGCUCUGACUCUGCUCCUGUCCCUGGCUCUUCGUGGAAAAGAUGAAGCGGUCCAGCUGGCAACGGAG